rnacentral:misc_RNA from 1 species
AGAACUACUUCCUAAAUUUCACUCCGUUCCGAUUCAGAACUGCUCGAACCGCCGACGGUGCAACUGCUCACACACUACAGGUAUUAACGAACUUCGCCAUCUUCGUCACCGACGAUGGAUUCUCCGGCGAGCACAUUCAAUCCAAACAAGCGUCUCAAGGAAGAGUUUGUGAGCAAUUUAACAGGAACUUCAAUGAUGGAG